AGCAUGUGGUUAAUUCGACGCAACGCGAAAAACCUUACCUGGGCUUGACAUGGAGAGAAUCUCCCUGGAAACAGGAGAGUGCCUCGCAAGAGGAGCUCUCACACAGGUGCUGCAUGGCUGUCGUCAGCUCGUGCCGUGAGGUGUUGGGUUAAGUCCCGCAACGAGCGCAACCCCAUCCCCAGUUGCCAUCAUUAAGUUGGGCACUCUGAGGAAACUGCCCGGGUUAACCGGGAGGAAGGCGGGGAUGACGUCAAGUCCUCAUGGCCCUUAUAGGUGGGGCUACACACGUCAUACAAUGGAUGGUACAAAGGGUCGCCAACCCGCGAGGGGGAGCCAAUCCCAUAAAGCCAUUCGUAGUCCGGAUCGCAGUCUGCAACUCGACUGCGUGAAGUCGGAAUCGCUAGUAAUCGUGGAUCAGAAUGUCACGGUGAAUACGUUCCCGGGUCUU
rnacentral:rRNA from 1 species